CGCUGGCUGAAGCCUGCUGUAGGCUGAGCAUUCCCCAGACAGGGAUGGCCGGGCCUGGGAGCUGGGGGAGAAGAAGCCUGUGCCCAGGGAGAGGGCAGCUGAUGCCCAACCCCAAGAUGGGCCGGGGAGCCAGGGGCUCUUUGAGCAGCAGACAGAAGGAUGCACUCCACACCCCAAAGACACGCACACCGGAGACCAACAGAGGAGGGAACCCCGGGCUUGCUCAUCACCCCACUUCUCCAUGCCAGGUCCUGUCCUCACCAGGCACUGAGCAGCGGCCUCAGUCCCAGGGAGCGGACACAGGGCCCAGACAUCGAUCGCUCCCUUCCUGCCAGUCAUUUAUGCUUAGUAAGGGGCAGAGCCGGGAUUUGAGCCCAGGAGGUCUGGCCCCACUUUCUUGUCUCGCCACUGGAUUGAAUGUUCUUUUCCUGCAGAGACUAAUGAAUUUUCAGCCAGGAAGUGACAGGCAAAGCACCAGUUCCCAGCAAGCACAAGGCUCACUGAGGCUUGAGAAAAGCUGGCCCGAAGCAUGAGGUCCACUGCACACCUCUGCCAAAACCAUGUAGCGGGUGUGAGAAAGACACCAAGACAAAGCAGCUCGAAGAAGGCGAACUUUGGGUAGCCAAACCUCCAUGUGGCCAUGGCCAUGGCUGAGCCUGACUCGAGAGACCCAGCUCCAGUUUUGCCAUUUCCAUCCAGGUAACCUUGGCUUCCAUCAAAGCCUCAGCUGGUCCAGAACCAUCUGGGUCUGGGAUUUCAUUGAGCAAGUUGUCCUGCCAGGGUUUCAGGGUUAUGGACAGAAGACUCGAGACCCCUGGGCCAGAGACAAAGAGCUUUAGCACUCACAGCAGGGCA
rnacentral:lncRNA from 1 species